GCGGUGGUGGUUCAGUGGUAGGACUUUUACUUUCCAUGUGGGAGACCCAGGUUUAAUUCCUGGCCGAUGUA
rnacentral:tRNA from 1 species